CUGUCAUCUCAGAGCUCAGAGGACCCCUGGGGCCAGAAGGCAGCUGCAAGGAGGAGACAUUGGCCCACAGAUGUCUUCAAGAGGGGUGUGCCCAGUCUGGCCAAGAGCCCUGCUGCCGCCAGAGGGAGCUGCUGACCCCAGGAGACCUCGGGAAGGCCCAGCCUCCAGAAGCAGAGGAAAGAAAAACUACAUGCUGCAGAAUGGAAACCAACAUUAAUAGGACAGUAAUCUCAGCACCCUCCAGACUGAAGCUGAAGGAUCACUGCGAAGCUUGGACCACACAGUGAGUUCAAGACCAGCCUGAACUACGUAGCGAGACCCCGUCUCAAAAAACAAGCAAAAGCAAACUUAAAAUAUAGGAGAGUGGAGUCUAAUGAUCCACGACCACCACACUGUUCUGCAACCAGC
rnacentral:lncRNA from 1 species